rnacentral:tRNA from 1 species
CUGGAGCUGGCGCAAUCGGUAGCGUUCCUGCUUUGGAAGCAGGCGGUUCCGGGUUCAAGUCCCGGGUUCCAGA